rnacentral:lncRNA from 1 species
GUUAGAGAGUUCUCAAAAGAUUAAGUAAAAAUGGCUAAGAAGUUAUGGAAAGGCAAGUUUAAACUGCUUUGUGAUUUCAUCAUGGCCAGAAUGGCCACAGAAACAAUUGAGAACUAAUGCGGAGGAGGUGUGGGGAAAGGGAACCCUCCCUCCAUUGUUGGUCUCAGUGCAACCUGGUGCAGCUGCUCUGGAAAUCACGUGGCAAGGUCUAAAACAUCUGUAAACACGUCGUCUAUGACCCAGCUCUAUGACUCCGUGCCAUUUGCCAAAAGACCUCAACACCCCACUCCACAGACACAUGCUCAGCCGUGCUCACUGCCGCUCUAUUUACAGUAGCUAGGAAGUGGAGACAUCCUAAAGGCUUUCAACAGACGAAUGAGUAAAGGCAUGGUAUCUAUACACUAUGAGUAAAGGCAUGGUAUCUACACACUAUGAGUAAAGGCAUGGUAUCUAGACACUAUGGAGUACUACUGAGCUAUAGCGAAGAAUGAAAUCAGGAACUCUGUAGGUAAAUGGAUGGAAGUAGAAGAGAUCACACUGAGUCUCGUGAGCCAGACUCAGACAAAUAAAUGUCGCACAUGCUCUCUCCUCUGUGGGUCCUAGUGUGAGACUCCGACUUAGAGCAUUUCUCCCUGGAAGGUAAAGCCCCUGGAUGUUCCCCAAGCUUGUUUUCCCUGAUCUCUAAAAUACAGCCAGAAAGAAGCUCUUUGUUCUCUAUAGCCAGCAAAAAGCCUUUUUGUUUCUGAGUUUUACAGCCAGAGAUGCGAUAAUUGUAAUUUUACCAAGGACAUCCGGAAGAGGAGAACACUCCUCCCAACUCUCCUCCCAACUCCUCCCAAUUCCUCAGCUAGCUGUUAAAAGCCCCUUACUGUCACCACUCGGGGUCGAACUCCACUGCCCAGAUUCAGGGGUCUUACACUAGCACACAUCUAUAUGUGAGCCUAUAACCUUGAGCAACUGCAGGGAUAAUUUCUAAAUGGGUAUAUUUUACCAUUUAUAGGCUGCUUAUAUUUUGACUAUAAAACAUAUGGUUUCAACUUCUUAAAAGCCUUUGUUUUGCUGUUCAGCCUUUAGCUUGUGUUGGUUAAAAUUUUCUGAGCUCUGGAAAACAAUAUAGAUUUUGUUAAAAAGGGAUUUGUAAAACAGUAACUGCGGGUCUACUUCGGGGUUAGAUGUAAGUGGGUUUUGUUUUUGUUUUUCUCCAUCAAACAGAGAUGUUGUUACUUUGUGGACAAAUGAUCUUUCACUAUUCCCAACCAUAGCUUUCCAGGUAGAAAGUGGGGCUGCUCCCUUUUUAUGGAUUAUCAAUCCGGUUAUAUUUUAUGAUAAAGAAAUUGGUUGAUGAUAUGCCACGUGCCAUGUUCGCUGGCGAGGGUUUUCCUGCUCAGCUUGCUGAUUUUAUGCAGUUUUUCUGUCUGAUGAUGUUUUGUU